rnacentral:rRNA from 1 species
GCAAGUCGAACGAAUUCUUCGGAAUUAGUGGCGGACGGGUGAGUAACGCGUGAGAAUCUGCCUCCAGAAUGGGGACAACAGUUGGAAACGACUGCUAAUACCCAAUAAGCCGAAAGGUAAAAGAUUUAUCGUCUGGAGAGGAGCUCGCGUCCGAUUAGCUAGUUGGUGGGGUAAAAGCCUACCAAGGCGGCGAUCGGUAGCUGGUCUGAGAGGAUGAGC